rnacentral:rRNA from 1 species
CCAAUAGCGUAUAUUAAAGUUGUUGCAGUUAAAAAGCUCGUAGUUGAAUUUCGGGGUUAGUAGGUUGGUCAUGCCUCUGGUAUGUACUGGUCUCACUGAUUCCUCCUUCCUGAUGAACCUUAAUGCCAUUAAUUUGGUGUUUUGGGGAAUUUGGACUGUUACUUUGAAAAAAUUAGAGUGUUUAAAGCAAGCUAACGCUUGAAUACAUUAGCAUGGAAUAAUGAAAUAGGACGUUCGAUCCUAUUUUGUUGGUUUCUAGGAUUGAAGUAAUGAUUAAUAGGGAUAGUUGGGGGCAUUAGUAUUCAAUUGUCAGAGGUGAAAUUCUUGGAUUUAUUGAAGACUAACUACUGCGAAAGCAUUUGCCAAGGAUGUUUUCAUUAAUCAAGAACGAAAGUUAGGGGAUCGAAGACGAUCAGAUAACGUCGUAGUCUUAACCAUAAACUAUGCCGACUAGGGAUCGGAUGAUGUUAAUUUUUUAAUGACUCAUUCGGCGCCUUACG